ACGGGAGGCAGCAGUGGGGAAUAUUGGACAAUGGGGGAAACCCUGAUCCAGCGACGCCGCGUGAGUGAAGAAGUAUUUCGGUAUGUAAAGCUCUAUCAGCAGGGAAGAAAAUGACGGUACCUGACUAAGAAGCCCCGGCUAACUACGUGCCAGCAGCCGCGGUAAUACGUAGGGGGCAAGCGUUAUCCGGAUUUACUGGGUGUAAAGGGAGCGCAGACGGCAAGGCAAGUCUGAUGUGAAAGGUGGGGGCUCAACCCCCAAACUGCAUUGGAAACUGUCUGGCUAGAGUGCCGGAGAGGUAAGCGGAAUUCCUAGUGUAGCGGUGAAAUGCGUAGAUAUUAGGAGGAACACCAGUGGCGAAGGCGGCUUACUGGACGGUAACUGACGUUGAGGCUCGAAAGCGUGGGGAGCAAACAGGAUUAGAUACCCUGGUA
rnacentral:rRNA from 1 species